CACGUAGGGCGCGAGCGUUGUCCGGAAUUAUUGGGCGUAAAGAGCUCGUAGGCGGCCUGUUGCGUCCGCUGUGAAAGCCCGGGGCUUAACCCCGGGUCUGCAGUGGAUACGGGCAGGCUAGAGGUAGGUAGGGGAGAAUGGAAUUCCCGGUGUAGCGGUGAAAUGCGCAGAUAUCAGGAGGAACACCGAUGGCGAAGGCAGUGUUCUGGGCCAGUACUGACGCUGAGGAGCGAAAGCGUGGGGAGCAAACAGG
rnacentral:rRNA from 1 species